rnacentral:rRNA from 1 species
UAUGAAACACAACUUUCAAUAUUUAAAGUUUGCAGAUACGUGUGCACAUUUGUGUGACACAAUUGAAGACUAGCUUCAGCGAUGGAUCGGUCGAUUCGCGUAUCGAUGAAAAACGCAGCUAGCUGCGUUAUUUACCACGAAUUGCAGACGCUUAGAGUGGUGAAAUUUUGAACGCAUAGCGCCGUUGGGUUUUCCCUUCGGCACGUCUGGUUCAGGGUUG